ACCGUACUUAUCGCAACAUAUUACGGAUACUCCGUUCGACAGAGCAAGACUCUGUAGAAAAAACACAUUUGACACAAUGGCAGGGAAUGGCUGGAUUCCAGUCGAUGAAUAAACAUCCACGGCAGUGAAUGAAUCAAGUACAAGGCGGGUGGCUGCUUGUCAGCCUCACGAUUGGCGCUGCAGGUUUUUUUAAAAUUCCGUUGCUUGUUUGAUGUCUCCAUGCGGCGCGCACGCCCAAGUUGGAGCGCAAAAAUAAUUAGAUGCUAUUGUGAAAAAGGUUGAUGGGGGGGG